CGGAGGGUGCAAGCGUUAUCCGGAUUCACUGGGUUUAAAGGGUGCGUAGGUGGGGUGGUAAGUCAGUGGUGAAAUCUCCAGGCUUAACUUGGAAACUGCCAUUGAUACUAUCAUUCUUGAAUACCGUGGAGAUGAGCGGAAUAUGUCAUGUAGCGGUGAAAUGCUUAGAUAUGACAUAGAACACCAAUUGCGAAGGCAGCUCGUUACACGAAUAUUGACACUCAGGCACGAAAGCGUGGGGAUCAAACAGGAUUAGAUACCCUGGUAGUCCACGCCCUAAACGAUGGAUACUCGACAUUUGCGAUAAACUGCAAGUGUCUGAGCGAAAGCAUUAAGUAUCCCACCUGGAAGUACGAUCGCAAGAUUG
rnacentral:rRNA from 1 species